CUGUUUACCAUUUAUUUACGGAAUAAACUAAAUCAUUUCCUUUUUGGUUCCUCCACCGAGUCUCCUAGUUCGUCACCACCACCACCACUACCACCACCACUUUAACCAUUACAUAACCAAUUACUGCUUCUACUAUUACUGCUACUACUAGUCAACGAGGGAUUUUUCGACUUUGCUAGAAAUAGCAGCCAAGUUUCUCAUGAAUAACACACACCUUUCUGUGUUGCAUGAAAAGGGAAAGCAUACAGAGGGGCAACCUAUGAUAAGAUGGUCGUGGUUGGAUUGCCUUUGAACAGUGCUGACCCGCGACUAAGCAUCAGCAGCCACUACUAACACUGCUACCACCACCGCUACCGCCACCACCACCAUCACUAACCACUGUCACCACUACUACUACUAUCACUAUUCACAAGUUCUUGUAGUGUUUAUUAUUAUACGAUGUAUGUAUGUAUGAAGUAACAACUGUAAACACGUCGCUUGCUCUGACGGCUUUUUCCCUUCUUACCUGACCAUGGAGCAAGGCGAUGAUAACACCACAGAAGUGUUUGAUGUAUUACCCGCUAUACCUGAUACAUAUCUCGAUGAACAUGAUUAUGGACCCAAAGUUCCAUACCAGCGUAUUCACCAGAAAGCUACCAGCUUUUCUGAGAAAAACCAUUUCAAUGUCUGGAUUACUGGUGUGACAGUCAGUGUGAAAGUGUCUCUUGACAAACGACCGAGUCACAGGAUUAAUUCAAACCUAUAUAAAGUUGAUUUGGUACAUGAAGAACACCAUUGGACAAUUUAUCGACGCUAUAAACAUUUCCGCAGUCUUCAUGAACAACUCAUGUUGUUCUUGGCUGGACUUCGGCUUCCGGUCCCAACAAAGCAACAUCGGGAGAAGAAGAAGUCUUUCCGUGGUGAGAAAUCCACACUACCAAGAUUUCCUUUAAUUCCAGACCAGUUUAUUCGAGAAGAAAACAUUCCUUUACGAACAAAACAACUGGAAGAAUAUCUUCAAUGUGCUCUGAAAUGCCGAAUGUACAGAAAUCAUAUAGAAAUGCUAAAAUUCUUAGAAAUCAGCCGCCUGUCUUUUAUUAAAGAACUUGGUUGUAAAAGGAAAGAGGGUAUGGUAAUGAAAUCUCCCGGAGGUCGGUCUACAAGUUGUCUGAAUUGUAAGAACAUGUUCCAACUUGGCAGAACUUGGCAUAAAAGAUGGUUCAUCAUAAAAGACACAUUUCUUACCUUCCUCCGUCCACACGAUGGUGCUGUCCGAGAUGUAAUUUUACUCGAUUCAGAUUUUGAUAUAAAAUCUGGUUAUUUUGAAACUGGUGUACCUCAUGGAAUUCUGAUAAAAAAUUCUUGCCGAGAACUGCUGUUUAGUUGCUGGACACAUCGAAAACAGGUGGAAUGGUCUGAUCAGAUUAAAAUGAUUGCUGAUGGAACUGGUAAAGAAUACACUGAAGAGAAACGGUUUAAUUCUUUUGCACCAAUUCGAACUGACGCCCAUGGAACCUGGUUUGUUGAUGGAGAUCUUUAUUUUGAGUCUGUGGCAGAUGUUUUAGAGGCAGCAACUGAGGAGAUAUUUAUCACUGAUUGGUGGUUGAGUCCAGAAUUAUAUUUGAAGCGUUCUGGUGCAGAUUUCAAUCAAUGGCGUUUAGAUGUGGUUCUUAAACGGAAAGCAGAAUGUGGAGUGAAAGUAUUUAUAUUGCUGUACAAAGAGAUAGCCCUGGCCCUUGGCAUCAACAGUUAUUAUAGUAAGAGGACACUGAUGAGUCUCCACCAUGAAAAUAUCAAGGUGUUAAGACAUCCCGAUCAUGUACCUGGUGGAGUAUAUCUAUGGGCGCAUCAUGAAAAACUGGUUGUUGUUGACCAGAAAAGUGCUUUCUUAGGUGGCUUUGAUCUCUGCUAUGGUCGGUGGGACUGUCAGAACCACAGGCUUGAUGAUCUUGGUUCCAUAGUCAAUGCCAAAGACGACCAGAAUUUGUCAAUAGUUGUAGAAAAUAAAGAUGAAAAUUCCUCACAGGAAAAUACGUCAUCGACUUCCUUGUUGACGAAUUCUUUAGAAAAUGAAGCCACUGUUAGCAGUAGCAGCAGGAAAGAGGAAGACCCUGUGACUGUCAUAGCCCAGCUGCAACCCGGUUAUGGGGAAGAUACUGUUGAUAGUGCUGAUCAGGAACCUUCCGAAACAAUAUCCUUGCCUUUCAUUGACAUUGGUACGUGUUCUGCUGCGACAACAGUAGAAAACAAGAAACCAGUGGAAAUACAUGGUUCUGGAGAUGCCAAGAAGGGAGCAGUGAGGGGAGCCCACAAACAUGACCAUUUAUGGAAAGAAACAUCAGUGAACAAGAUCGUCUCCAACCAUGACCAAAAGUCAGCAUUUGGUCGCAGUGUAUCGAUGAAAACAAAUUUUCUAAAUGACACUGUCGAUAAAGGAGGAGAUGCUCGCAAAUACAUGAGACACGUCUCUCUGAUGGACUAUCCAAGCAAAGAUUUAUAUGAGAACAUUCUGGAACGAUACAACUGUUUAGAGAAAACACAACUGAUCUCAUCCGCAAGAGAUUCUGAAUCCCAAAGUGGGAAUUAUGACUCUAUUGGACACACUAAUUUCUCAGGCAGUACACAAGUUGACAAGUCAUUGAAUGCACGUCGACGGUGGAGACGAUACAGAAAUGUUGUCAAGCUGAUUACAGUAGAGAAUGUCAAUGUGACAGUGAAAAACAUUCCUGGUUUAGACGAGAUGUCGUCAAAUAUGAAACCGUCAACACCAAAGUCAAAAAGACGAUUUAUGCCAAGCUACAUAUCAGAUCGGCUGCCUGCGAAACAAGAAUCUACAGAAACUAAAGAGAGCUCCAAUGAUGAUUCCAUAUCAGAGUCUCCACCAGCUUCACUCCACGGUGCUUCUAAACUAUGGAUUGGUAAAGACUACUGUAACUUUAUCUUCAAAGAUUUUGUUGACCUCGAAGCACCUUUUGAAGAUAUGAUUGACCGCACUAAGACACCGCGGAUGCCCUGGCAUGAUAUUGGAAUAGCUGUCUAUGGCAGCGCCGCACAGGAUGUUGCACGCCACUUUAUCCAACGUUGGAAUAUGAUCAAAGUGAAAAAAGUCAGAGAUGAUGAGCAGUAUCCAUUUCUAUUUCCUAAAAUUAUUCCCAACCUGAGCAAUCCUGCCACUGCUGGCAAACUGAAGAUUCAGAUUUUACGUAGUGUCGGACAGUGGUCAGCUGGUAACGUGAAGUGUGAAAACUCUAUACAACAAGCUUACGUCAAAAGUAUCAAGAAUGCAAAGCACUUCAUUUACAUUGAGAACCAGUUCUUUAUAUCCAAAGUUGCCACUGACAAUAUUGUGUUAAACAAAAUUAACAAAGCCUUAUUUGAACGGAUUCUUAAGGCCCACAGGAAGAAGGAAACUUUCCGUGUGUAUAUAGUUAUGCCAUUGCUGCCUGCCUUUGAAGGGGAGAUUGGGACCAAGAAAGGGACUGCAAUCCAAGCCAUUACACACUGGAACUAUGCUUCUAUCUGCAGAGGGAACGAGUCACUUCUAACGCGACUCAAACAAGAGGGAGUGACAGAUCCAUUUAACUAUGUGACCUUCUAUGGUCUACGGAAUCAUGGAGAACUUUUAGAAAAACUUACAACAGAAUUGGUUUAUGUACAUAGCAAGAUGAUGAUUGUCGACGAUGACACAACAAUAAUUGGAUCUGCAAACAUCAAUGACCGCAGUAUGCUGGGGGACCGUGACAGUGAAAUGGCUGUCAUAAUCCAAGACCUGGAGACUGUCCCUGUCCAGUUCAAUGGCAAAGACCAUAAAGCUGGACAUUUCUCAUCCUCACUGAGAAAAACAGUUUUCAAGGAACAUUUGGGCCUCGAAGAUGAUGAGCUUCUGGUGGAUCCUGUCUGUGAUGCUUUCUAUAAAGAAAUUUGGAUCCAACAAGCUAGCUUCAACACAACUAUUUAUGAAAAGGUUUUUAAUUGUAUUCCAAAUGAUGGAAUCUUAACUUUUGAUGAACUCAAGAAAUACAACAAAAAAUCAACUCUUGCAGAAGAUAAUCCAGGCAAAGCAAGAGAAAUGCUAAAGAACGUACACGGUCAUCUUGUUUUGAUACCACUUUACUUCUUGUCUAAUGAAAAUUUGACGCCACCUCCUGGAGCCAAAGAAGCUCUUUUACCAACAGUUUUAUGGACAUGACACAAUUCAUCAAGAGAAUUAGUUUCUAUAAAUAAUGGCUGUGAAUUAUUAUUAUUUUUAUUAUUAUUAUUCUCUCUUUUAUAUCAUACUACUUCAUUGGUUUUCAUUUUCUUUUAUUCUGAUUUAAUGUCUCAUAUAGUAACAAUGUGGGUUAAAGAUAUUUUUCUUGCUUUAGACUUUAUUCCAUUUUCCAUUUUUCUUUUUUCUUUUUUUUGUUCUUCCACAUCAAGAAUUGUAAUAUUAGCUAUGUAAAAAGAAAAAUGGGGAACCAAGUUUUGGUUGAAUGAAAUUCCACAACCUUUUCAAUGUAUAUAUAUAUAAAUAUAUCAGUAUCAUCAUUAUUGUAACACACACACAUACACACACACACACACACAUUACAAAGAUAUAUUUUUGUAUUCAGUCAUUGCAUUAUCCAGCUUGUACGUAACGAAACUUCAUCAUGACACUUGUUACUGAACAAAUUUAAAGCAAUAUGUGGAUUUUAACAUUCCAGUACAAAGUACAGAGUGUUCUAAAAGAUAGUAAUUCAUUGAAAAAUAAUACGUUAUGAUAUUAGGAGAAUACUGAAGGUCCCUCCUCACCCAUCCAUUUGUCCCCUACCUUAAAGGAGGAUUUAAAUUCACUGAUGGAAAGUAAUUAAAAUAAAAACACUUUUCUGUUUUAUCGUUUUCUUGCA
rnacentral:misc_RNA from 1 species